GGGGACGAAACAGGCUCGACACGCAUGGUAAAGACCCGCCUUUUGCCCGGCAUUGUACCACCGUUAUCGGGCUAAAUCACAAGUGCCAAUGAUAACUCUGAGGUGCUCGCUGUCGCUGCAUAAGCGAUAAGCGCGGUUCGGGAGGGCACCGGGCAACAGAAGCCCUCCCA
rnacentral:tmRNA from 1 species